rnacentral:misc_RNA from 1 species
UCCACCCUUACCAAUAGUAAUGAAAAUCCUUAAAGUAUUUCAGGGUCUAAUUAAAUCUUUCAACUUUUUAAACAAGUUCUUCAAAUUUUAAUAAUAGAUCAUGUAAGCCUUUUUACUGUUUUGAAGACAAAUAAGUCCUUUAAUUUUUAAAAAUGGAUAAAAAAUAUUGAACUAUAAUUUGUCUAUGAUAUAAAUCCAGCUAAGGCUAUGUAUAAAAAUUUUCUAAUGCAUAAGGUCCUCAUCAGCAAUCAUAUGUAUUUGAUUUGCAAGAUCCUGGUAAAUAUAUGUUGAAAUUUAUAAAUUGUUAUUUGCCAAAUGAUUCAAUAAGUUUAUCUAUGAGUUAAUCAUCUUUGUCAUAGUUUCUAUAGAAAAAUUUCUUGAACCAUGUGGUAAAGAACAGCCUAUUAAUCUACUCCAGGAUACAUCGAAUAUCCAUCGUGAGGUUGCAAAUCAAAUCAGAUAUGAAUGAUUGCUUAUGAGAACUUUGUGCACUAGAAUAUCUUCGUGUACGGCCUAUAGUUCUGUCUUUUCUAUCUAUUUUUAAAAUUAAAGAGCUUAUUUUAUCUAUUUUUAAAAUUUAAAACACUUAUUUGAUUUUUUUUUUAAGUUAAAG